CCUGACUGCUGUAAUAGUGGGUCUUGGUGGAAAGGCCACCGUCACUAACAGAGGAGUAUCAUUGAAGGGUUUCGUGAAAAAUGGUGAAAGGGGAGUCAAUCAUCCUGACUACCCCUCGGUGCUGGACUCUCUAAGCAUAGCCAACCCAGUCAUUACCAACUGUCUCAUUGACAAGAGGGGCAUAUAAUCCAUUCUCAUCAUCAAAGGGAAGGACGCAGCCAGGAGGGUGAUGCGACAAGGCCGACCCCCCAAGGAACUGUCGCGAGGCCUUCACUGUCGAAGGAGAUCAGGUUUACCGCAACCGAUACUACACCCCAGACUUCGGCAUGGCCAAAUACCUCAGGGGAGAUCUGGAGACAGAAAUUCGAAUUGUAUUGAUUUGUAGUUGCAUUUCUCAGCAAAUUGGAGUCAGAGCUGAAGAACUACAAGGCCCAGCUCUCCCGGGUUUCAUCUUCACCUGGGCUCAGUCACUGAGGACAUCCAGCGCAUGGAGGCCAAACUACACAACACCAUCAUGGCCCUGGCCACAGUGAAUCAGGUCAAGGCCAGUGUGACAGAGCUUGAGAAUGUCGAGGAGGAACAGACUGAGAACUUUAUUGAUCCAUGAUUACAAAUUAUGCUUUGAUUUCCUAUGGAGAUGAUCGAUGUUGGUUUGAUUGAUUCUGAAAAACCUUUACAUUAAAUUGACCGUGCUAACGUCAUCAAAUGCUACAGGAAGAAGUGGCUCAAGAGAACCAGCAGAGAAUCGAAUGGUGGGAAGAAAACUGUGGAGGAAGCAAAGGAGGAGCUGGAGGAGCAUGAGAAAACUACCAAGGAAGUUGAUUGCCAGUAUGUUGACGGGAGGAACAGGAUGGAACAGCUGGCUGAAGAGAUGGAGCCACUGAAGUUUGGUCAGGGCAUGGUUUCCCAGACACAGAUGAAGCUUAACCCUGUACAAAAAAAGCUCAAUGGAUAAUCUCCAAGCCAAAGCCCACGACUGGCCCUUUUAGUACACAACUCUCCCUAUAGUCCACAAUACUGAGAAUACGAAUACUG
ensembl:lncRNA